AUAUGUCUACAUCAGGGCGUAUUAAACUUUAAUGUCUGCUAAUAUUCUUCAUGAAUCAAUGGCUAGCUUGUAAGCAACUGAGUGUUCUCACUCAAAGUCAAAUUUGCAACAGAGAGCAUCUGAAACAGCUGUGAAUGAAUGAAAAAGAAUCGCUGCCAAGGCCAACAUUUCCACCCAUACCCAACUGCCCUUGAACUGAAUGGUUUGCUAGGCCAUUUCAGAGACCAGAUGGGAGUCAACCGCGUUGUGGAUCUACAGUCACAUCUCAGCCAGACCAGGCCUGAAUGGCAUGGUGGCAGCGUCAGGCAUCGCUUCAUGGCCACAGAUGAAGUUCCAUGGAUGGAGGUCUGUGCUGAGAUUCUGCCAAAUUGUCUACAAACAAGAGGAACUGAAAACUGAGACAUUGUGUCCUAAAUUGAGAAAGUAAGAAACGAUCCAUGCAUUUAUAAACAUCUUUCCCUCAGGAUUUUCCAAAGUAUAUCAUAGACAGUGAAUCACUUCUGAAGUGCUGCCACUUGUGUUGAAACCAAACACAGCAGGUAAUAUGCAUGGAUAAAGUCUGGCAGUUAGCAAAGAAAAUAAAUGAUCAGUUACUUUAUUUUGGUGGUGUGGCUGGAGAUAAAUAUUGACUAGGAUAGCUCCCCUACUGUUUUGCAAAUAGUACCACAGAAUUUUUUAGGUUUAAAGGCACCUUAGUAUAACAUCUCAUUUUAAGACAGUAUUUCCAAUAAUGCAGUACCUUCUUCUUGGGACCUUCUCAUAUCACUACAAGAACUAACACUGAGUCAAAGUGACACUGAAGACUAACUUUAGGAACAGGGUAGUAAUAAUUUAAUCUAAACAUUUUUACAUUUUUUUUCUUAAUAGGAUAGAAUUUUACCCAUUAAUUUGAAUGAAUUACCAAUAUUACACUACCUCUUCGGGUGUAGAAUUUGAGUCAAACUGAGCUUUUUAACCUGCUGCCAAUAUUAAUUAGUAACAAUAAUAAUUCACUUGCCUUCCAUAUCUGAACAAAUAUGAUCUCUGAAGAAAAAGCAAAGUUAUCAGUGCAUGUUGCUAAUAAGAAUGUUUCCAUGUUGUUCAGCAAUCAAGUAAACUCAUUUAGUUUGAGGGUUGAUGCUAAUAAACUGCUUAUCUCACUAGCAAUAACAACAGAAAAGACUAUAAAUAAACUGAUACAUUGGUUUUCUGUGACAUGCUUUGUAAGGGGAAAGGUAUGAUAUGCUGUUUGAUGUAUAAUUGAAGCAUUGCCAAAAAACAUAUAGAUAGGAAAAAUAAGCAAUCAGACAAAAGAAUUGAAUGUACUAAUUUCAUUUUAAAUAAUGUACAGUAUUAUGACACAAAUAUAUCAAUAUAUUUUGGAUAUGUACCAUUGUAAGGGUUUUUAAAGACUGCUUUUAUUGACUAUUUCAAAUUUGACAUUUAUUGUUAUGUUUGUCAUAUUCAACGUCAACACCUCGGGGGAGAAAACAGAUCCCAAAAGCAGCAUGAGUUCAGAAAAAUCAAUAAAAUUCUAUUUUUAUUUUGAACAUCAUUAAACCUCAAGAAAACACUAACAUGCUGGAAUUAAGCUCAAUAGCAACCUACAAUUAUUUACAACAUUUAUAGUCACCACCUUUACAGCCUCAGUGACAGUUCCAAAAAUAAUGUAAGUUUUCACAAUAACAAAAUAUUGUAAAGCUGUAUUAGCAGUGAAAUGCAUUGUUAGUAAUUGUGAAUGGAUUAUGUUCUGAAAAAUGGUGACUGAUAAAAUUGAUCUAUAAACUCACAUGUAGCCAAUCCAAUGUUGUAAAUACUGAUAUUUUUGAAAUAUGACAAGCAUAGUUUUUUAGUGUGUACAUUAAAAAUAUUGUGAUAGAAUCAUAGAGUCAUAGAGCUGUACAGCAUGGAAACAGAUUCUUUAGUCCAACUCAUCCAUGCUGGCCAGAUAUCCUAAAUUAAUCUAGUCCCAUUUGCCAGGAUUUUGCCCAUAUCACUUUAAACCUUUCUUAUUCAUGUACCCAUCCAGAUGUCUUUUAAAUGUUGUAAUUGUACAAGCUUUCACCACUUCCUUUGGCAGCUCAUUCCAUACACAUACCCCCCACCCCAGGAAAAAAAAAACCUUGGCUCUUCAUCCUAUUCUAUCCAUGCCCCUCAUGUUCUUGUAAACUUCUAUAAGGUCACACCUCAGCCUCCGACGUUCCAGGGAAAAUAGCCCCAGACUAUUCAGCCUCUCCCUGUAGCGCAAACCCUCCAACCCUGGCAACACCCUUGUAAAUCUUUUCUGAACCCUUUCAAGUUUAACACAAUCUUUCCUAUAGCGAGGAGACUAGAAUUGAACAUAUUAUUCCCAAAGUGACCUAAGCAAAGUCCAAUACAGCCACAAUAUGACCUCCCAACUCCUAUACUCAAUGCACUGAUCAAUAAAGUUACUACCUGUCUACCCUUCACUAGCUGUCUACCUGGGACUCCACUUUCAAGGAACUGUGAACCUGCACUCCAAGGUCUUUUUAUUCAGCAACACUCCCCAGGACGUUACCUUUAAGUGUAUAAGUUCUGACCUGAUCUGCCUUUCCAACAUGCAGCACCUCACAUUUAUCUAAAUUAAAGUCCAUCUGCCACUCCUCAGCCCUUUAGCCCAUCUGAUCAAGGUCCCAUUGUACUCUGAGGUAACAUUCUUCACCAUCCACUACACCACCAAUUUUUGGUGUCAUCUGCAAACUUACUGACCAUACCUCUAAAUGAUGAAAAGCAGUGGACCCAGCACCGAUCCUUUUGGGACACCACUGGUCACAAGCCUCCAGUCUGAAAAGCAAUCCUCCACCACCACCAUCUGUCUUCUACCUUCGAGACAGUUCUGUAUCCAAAUGGCUAGUAUUCCCUGUAUGUGAUCUAACUUUGCUAGCCAGACUAUCAUGAGGAAACUUGUCAAAUGCCUUACUGAAGUCCAUAUAGAUCACAUCCAUCACUCUGCCCUCAUUAAUCCUCUUCGUCAGCUCUUCAAAAAACUCAAUCAAGUUAGUGAGACAUGAUUUCCCACACACAGAGCCAUGUUGACUAUCCCUAAUAAGUCCUUGCCUUUCCAAAUACAUGUAAAUCCUGUUGCUCAGGAUUCCCUCCAACAACUUGCCCACCACCGAUGUCAGGCUCACUAUCUGCAGUUCCCUGGCUUUUCCUUACCACCUUUCUUCAUGCAGAGGAUAAUUUCGUUACCUGAAUUGUUGUAAUAAUUAUCAAGGUUUUUCAAUGUGCAUUUUGACAAAACAAAUACAAUACUUUGAGCUUUUUUUAUAUAAGGAGCAAAUGCGGAACCGGGAAUUAAAAUAAUUAAAUGUUUCUGUCACUCCUAUACAAUCUGUGGAUAUUGGUUAAAAACUAAUUUAAAAAGCACUUGCAUAAGGAGAAAAGACUGAACAACAACUUUAUCAAUUGUUUAAGUGCCACUGAAUUUUGAAGGGUAUUGUUAAUGUAUUUUGCUGCCUUUUGAGAUAAUUAAUAUAUAUGUAAUUACCAAUUCAGCAUUCGACACUAAAUAAAGAUAUAUAAUUGGCAUACA